GAUGAACGCUAGCUACAGGCUUAACACAUGCAAGUCGAGGGGUAACAAGAGGAAGGCUUGCUUUCUUUGUUGACGACCGGCGCACGGGUGAGUAACGCGUAUCCAACCUGCCUAUAACUAGGGGAUAACCUUGCGAAAGUAAGACUAACACCCUAUGAUUUCCUUUGAUGACAUCAGAUUAGGAAUAAAGAUUUAUCGGUUAUAGAUGGGGAUGCGUCUGAUUAGCUUGUUGGCGGGGUAACAGCCCACCAAGGCAACGAUCAGUAGGGGUUCUGAGAGGAAGGUCCCCCACAUAGGAACUGAGACACGGUCCAAACUCCUACGGAAGGCAGCAGUGAGGAAUAUUGGUCAAUGGGCGGAAGCCUGAACCAGCCAAGUAGCGUGCAGGAUGACGGCCCUAUGGGUUGUAAACUGCUUUUAUACAGGAAUAAAGUUAGCCACGUGUGGUUAUUUGUAGGUACUGUAUGAAUAAGGACCGGCUAAUUCCGUGCCAGCAGCCGCCGUAA
rnacentral:rRNA from 1 species